GCGGGGAAAGAAGACCCUGUUGAGCUUGACUCUAGUCCGACUUUGUGAAAUGACUUCAGAGGUGUAGGAUAAGUAGGAGCUCUCGGGCGAAAUUGAAAUACCACUACUUUUAACGUUAUUUUACUUAUUCUAUGAAUCGAAGGCGGGGCACGGCCCCUGUAACACCCUAAACCUGGCCUAGACGUUAUGACCGGAUCUGGUGCGCCACAUCGAAGCGUUCAAAACAUUCCGUAUUACUUAGU
rnacentral:ncRNA from 1 species